GACACCGAACUGGGCUCCAGUGUCACCCUGCCACAGACACUGCACUGGGGCACUGCUGUCACCGGCACUGAACCUGGGCACCAGCGUCACCCUGUCACCGACACCAGAUCUGGGUGCCAGUGUCACCUGUCACAGACACUGAAUCUGUCACAGACAAGAAACAGAAUUUUUGUUCACAAAAGGCACGGGUCUACAGACGCGAUUGGCUGGGCAGGAGCUGUGUCCUAACGAUUAUCCCAGGAUCCUGCAGAUGCUGGAACACAGCGUCAGCCCCUCAGAGCAACCCCCUACAACAAAGGUUAAGUCUAAGGGCGCGUUCCUUACGGGUGAAACGCAGCGAGAGGCUGCACGAGCAAAUGAGCUUGUAGCUGCUUCUGUCUACUGAAGAUUAUAUUGCACACUGACCUCAGGCAGUUCUAAUGCGUACAAGAGCUAAUGAGAUUGCUCUGCAUUCAGGCAGUCCAGGGCAGUAGCAGCUGAUGCAGCAAUCUGAGCGUACACCUGGACCAGCACAGCUGGACUGAGGAAGCCACGGUCUGUACUUCCAGGUAUCAGCUCUGUGGAAGAACCUUGCAAAUCUCAAAGAGAGCCAGGGAGCAAAAAAAUGCUCUUGUGUAGAGGAUAUCCUGUGACCAAGGAGACAAAGAAAGUUUGCACAUUCCAUGCUUGUGCACUGUCACUGUGCACCUCUGAGAACUGUCUGGCUACACCCACCAUGACGGAGCUGAAAACAGCAACAAAGGUGAUUCCAGAGGAAAAAAAGCAAUCUUCACUGACUGGAAUUUGUAGCUAAUGAAACUUUAGAACUUUGUUUUGCAAUUUAAGUUAUUCUGAUAAAACAAAACCAUCAGCAAUACACUCUGCAUAUUCUUGACAGUGACUGCAGUGAGACUUCUUUUCCUUUUACCCUUACCCAUUUUUAGAAAUCCCUCAUGCUCCAUUCCUGUUUAAGAAUCUCUUUUUUUGGCCAAUGGAGAAUAAAUAAAAAGCAAACUAUACAAACAAUUGCAGUGGGGUGCUACAGAGAACAAAGUGGUGGCCUGUGCAAGUAUAAUUUAUAAAUAUAUUCUGUUCUUCAUAUGUACAGCUAGCCAAAAAGCAACAUGUGGAAAGAGUUUCCAUGUUUCCAAAAGUACUUCUCCAAUGUCAGUCAGGAAUGGAAAUGUACUUUACAGUUGUGAUACCCCAUCACUGGUCAAAAAAAACCCCACAACUGACAAAAGAAAGAGACUUCAAAAAGAUGAAGGGAGGUUUUAUCUUUGCUGCUUUUAAUUUUUAAAGCAGAAGUCCUGGUUUUGUCUGCCUAGCAUUAAGCACCAGCUUCAAAUCAGCAUGGGACUUCUCAGAGAACCAGCCACCAAUUAUUUUUGUUUUAAAUCCCAAGCAAAACAGGCUAUUUUUCCCAAUUCCUCUCAUGAAUUAAUUAACACUUUGCUUGAGACUUUCAAGAUCAUUUCAUCUGCAGAAUAUGCCAGACCCUGAGAAUUCUAACCCCAAUUGCUUGAGCAGCAGCAAAGCAGUAAGAAACCAGACACAGGAUCUCAGGAAAGGAAGCACUGGGAAACAUUUCCACCAGGAAUGUUCUCAGUCCCAUCUCUAACUACUGAAUAAAUGCAAAUCACCAGCGUGGUCACCAAGGGGCAGCACGGGGUGCAUCAGUGCCUGUCCCCCUGCUGGGCUGCAGGGAACCACGGUGACCUGUCUGUUGUGCCCAUGCCCUGGCACAGCUGGCACCACACGGACAGGGCAGCCUGGAGCCCUCCUGGCUGCUGCUCUGCUCUGGGCACAGCCAGACUACUGCAGGCAAACCUUCCCACAGAAACAGACAAGCCCACGGAAACACCGUGAACCAGCAAUGCUUUAGAAAGCUCAGGAAAGAUGGUCAAACAAAAAAGCAAAAACCUGGCAGAAUUUUAGACAUUAAAUACCAUUAGGAGCCAUUUCUCCCAUCAGAUGCUGUACACAACGUUAAUGUGAAUAUUAUAAUGCUGACAAAUUUUUCUUGAAUGAAUUAUGAAGCCAAUAAUUUACAA